rnacentral:miRNA from 1 species
GUGAACAUAAGGUGGCUGGGAGAA